AACGAACGCUGGCGGCAUGCCUAACACAUGCAAGUCGAACGAGACCUUCGGGUCUAGUGGCGCACGGGUGCGUAACGCGUGGGAAUCUGCCCUUGGGUUCGGAAUAACAGUUGGAAACGACUGCUAAUACCGGAUGAUGACGUAAGUCCAAAGAUUUAACGCCCAAGGAUGAGCCCGCGUAGGAUUAGCUAGUUGGUGAGGUAAAGGCUCACCAAGGCGACGAUCCUUAGCUGGUCUGAGAGGAUGAUCAGCCACACUGGGACUGAGACACGGCCCAGACUCCUACGGGAGGCAGCAGUGGGGAAUAUUGGACAAUGGGCGAAAGCCUGAUCCAGCAAUGCCGCGUGAGUGAUGAAGGCCUUAGGGUUGUAAAGCUCUUUUACCCGGGAUGAUAAUGACAGUACCGGGAGAAUAAGCUCCGGCUAACUCCGUG
rnacentral:rRNA from 1 species